rnacentral:rRNA from 1 species
GAGUUUGAUCAUGGCUCAGAUUGAACGCUGGCGGCAGGCCUAACACAUGCAAGUCGAACGGUAACAGGAAACAGCUUGCUGUUUCGCUGACGAGUGGCGGACGGGUGAGUAAUGUCUGGGAAACUGCCUGAUGGAGGGGGAUAACUACUGGAAACGGUAGCUAAUACCGCAUAACGUCGCAAGACCAAAGAGGGGGACCUUCGGGCCUCUUGCCAUCAGAUGUGCCCAGAUGGGAUUAGCUAGUAGGUGGGGUAACGGCUCACCUAGGCGACGAUCCCUAGCUGGUCUGAGAGGAUGACCAGCCACACUGGAACUGAGACACGGUCCAGACACCUACGGGAGGCAGCAGUGGGGAAUAUUGCACAAUGGGCGCAAGCCUGAUGCAGCCAUGCCGCGUGUAUGAAGAAGGCCUUCGGGUUGUAAAGUACUUUCAGCGGGGAGGAAGGGAGUAAAGUUAAUACCUUUGCUCAUUGACGUUACCCGCAGAAGAAGCACCGGCUAACUCCGUGCCAGCAGCCGCGGUAAUACGGAGGGUGCAAGCGUUAAUCGGAAUUACUGGGCGUAAAGCGCACGCAGGCGGUUUGUUAAGUCAGAUGUGAAAUCCCCGGGCUCAACCUGGGAACUGCAUCUGAUACUGGCAAGCUUGAGUCUCGUAGAGGGGGGUAGAAUUCCAGGUGUAGCGGUGAAAUGCGUAGAGAUCUGGAGGAAUACCGGUGGCGAAGGCGGCCCCCUGGACGAAGACUGACGCUCAGGUGCGAAAGCGUGGGGAGCAAACAGGAUUAGAUACCCUGGUAGUCCACGCCGUAAACGAUGUCGACUUGGAGGUUGUGCCCUUGAGGCGUGGCUUCCGGAGCUAACGCGUUAAGUCGACCGCCUGGGGAGUACGGCCGCAAGGUUAAAACUCAAAUGAAUUGACGGGGGCCCGCACAAGCGGUGGAGCAUGUGGUUUAAUUCGAUGCAACGCGAAGAACCUUACCUGGUCUUGACAUCCACGGAAGUUUUCAGAGAUGAGAAUGUGCCUUCGGGAACCGUGAGACAGGUGCUGCAUGGCUGUCGUCAGCUCGUGUUGUGAAAUGUUGGGUUAAGUCCCGCAACGAGCGCAACCCUUAUCCUUUGUUGCCAGCGGUCCGGCCGGGAACUCAAAGGAGACUGCCAGUGAUAAACUGGAGGAAGGUGGGGAUGACGUCAAGUCAUCAUGGCCCUUACGACCAGGGCUACACACGUGCUACGAUGGCGCAUACAAAGAGAAGCGACCUCGCGAGAGCAAGCGGACCUCAUAAAGUGCGUCGUAGUCCGGAUUGGAGUCUGCAACUCGACUCCAUGAAGUCGGAAUCGCUAGUAAUCGUGGAUCAGAAUGCCACGGUGAAUACGUUCCCGGGCCUUGUACACACCGCCCGUCACACCAUGGGAGUGGGUUGCAAAAGAAGUAGGUAGCUUAACCUUCGGGAGGGCGCUUACCACUUUGUGAUUCAUGACUGGGGUGAAGUCGUAACAAGGUAACCGUAGGGGAACCUGCGGUUG